rnacentral:rRNA from 1 species
UACGUAGGGGGCUAGCGUUGUCCGGAAUCAUUGGGCGUAAAGAGCGCGUAGGCGGCCAGAUAAGUCCGGUGUGAAAGUCAAAGGCUCAACCUUUGAAUGCCGCUGGAAACUGUCUGGCUAGAGUCCGGAAGGGGCGAGUGGAAUUCCUGGUGUAGCGGUGAAAUGCGCAGAUAUCAGAAGGAACACCAAUGGCGAAGGCAGCUCGCUGGAACGGUACUGACGCUGAGGCGCGAAAGCGUGGGGAGCAAACAGG